rnacentral:rRNA from 1 species
GAUGAACGCUGGCGGCGUGCCUAAAACAUGCAAGUCGUGCGGCAGCAUGCCCUUCGGGGUGAUGGCGAGCGGCGGACGGCUGAGUAACGCGUGGGAAUUUGCCCUAAUGUGAGGGAUAACUGCCCGAAAGGGUGGCUAAUACCGCAUAUGGUCUACGGAUUAAAGGAUUUAUCCGCUUUGGGAGAAGCCCGCGUCAGAUUAGCUUGUUGGUGAGGUAAUGGCUCACCAAGGCGAUGAUCUGUAGCUGGUCUGAGAGGAUGAUCAGCCAGACUGGAACUGAGACACGGUCCAGACUCCUACGGGAGGCAGCAGUUAGGAAUAUUCCACAAUGGGGGCAACCCUGAUGGAGCAACGCCGCGUGGAGGAUGAAGGCCUUCGGGUUGUAAACUUCUUUUCUAUGUGAAGAAUAUGACUGUAGCAUAGGAAUAAGGGUCUGCUAACUACGUGCCAGCCGCCGCUAGUAA